rnacentral:lncRNA from 12 species
UGACAAGGUCUGGAACAAUGGAACAGAUCUCAGGAAUGUGGUAUCCUUCCUUUCAUAUCUCACAACACAAAGAGCUCAAGCUCAGAACAAGAACACAAGAAGCAGCUAAGGAAACCAGAGAGGACAAGUGUGCAAGGGGAAGAUUGAAGUGGAUGAGAGUGAAAAUCACGAGGAUCUUGUGCUUUGUCAAGGUCAUCAGUGAAGAAUAGACACAGAAGAUAAC